GACGAACGCUGGCGGCGUGCUUAACACAUGCAAGUCGAACGGUGAAAGCGGAGCUUGCUCCGCUGGAUCAGUGGCGAACGGGUGAGUAACACGUGGGCAACCUGCCCCUCACUUCGGGAUAACUCCGGGAAACCGGGGCUAAUACCGGAUAUGACCUCCUUGGGCAUCCUUGGAGGUGGAAAGUUUUUCGGUGAGGGAUGGGCCCGCGGCCUAUCAGCUUGUUGGUGAGGUAGUGGCUCACCAAGGCGACGACGGGUAGCCGGCCUGAGAGGGCGACCGGACACACUGGGACUGAGACACGGCCCAGACUCCUACGGGAGGCAGCAGUGGGGAAUAUUGCACAAUGGGCGCAAGCCUGAUGCAGCAACGCCGCGUGAGGGAUGAAGGCCUUCGGGUUGUAAACCUCUUUUAGCAGGGAAGAAGCGAAAGUGACGGUACCUGCAGAAAAAGCACCGGCUAACUACGUGCCAGCAGCCGCGGUAA
rnacentral:rRNA from 1 species